rnacentral:rRNA from 1 species
UACGAAGGGGGCUAGCGUUGCUCGGAAUCACUGGGCGUAAAGGGUGCGUAGGCGGGUCUUUUAAGUCAGGGGUGAAAUCCUGGAGCUCAACUCCAGAACUGCCUUCGAUACUGGAAAGCUCGAGUCCGGGAGAGGUGAGUGGAACUGCGAGUGUAGAGGUGAAAUUCGUAGAUAUUCGCAAGAACACCAGUGGCGAAGGCGACUUACUGGACGAUUGUUGACGCUGAGGUGCGAAAGCGUGGGGAGCAAACAGG